rnacentral:rRNA from 1 species
CGGGCAGGCCUAACACAUGCAAGUCGAGCGGAUGAGUGGAGCUUGCUCCAUGAUUCAGCGGCGGACGGGUGAGUAAUGCCUAGGAAUCUGCCUGGUAGUGGGGGACAACGUUUCGAAAGGAACGCUAAUACCGCAUACGUCCUACGGGAGAAAGCGGGGGAUCUUCGGACCUCGCGCCAUUAGAUGAGCCUAGGUCGGAUUAGCUAGUUGGUGAGGUAAUGGCUCACCAAGGCGACGAUCCGUAACUGGUCUGAGAGGAUGAUCAGUCACACUGGAACUGAGACACGGUCCAGACUCCUACGGGAGGCAGCAGUGGGGAAUAUUGGACAAUGGGCGAAAGCCUGAUCCAGCCAUGCCGCGUGUGUGAAGAAGGUCUUCGGAUUGUAAAGCACUUUAAGUUGGGAGGAAGGGUAGUAACCUAAUACGUUGCUACUUUGACGUUACCGACAGAAUAAGCACCGGCUAACUUCGUG